UUGUGAACCCGGGAGAGAUGUGCAUGGGGUUCCACCCAUAGAAUAUGAUUUAGGGUGCAAAGUCAUAGCUCUGUCUCCUUUGACGGCUGACGUCUUCUCUCUCUACGCGAGCAGCUGCACAGGCACACUGUCCAUCAGUUAAUAAAUCAAUACAGCUAAAGGGAUACCGUACGACAUCGUCAUUUCUCACAUUUCACUUUUUUAAGCAGAACAUUUUGCUAACCACUAAAGAUUAAUUAUUGUAUUUUAUUUAUUUUAGUUGAAUAUUCACAUCUACGGAAGUUUUUAUUAACAGUGAAGAGGACUGUACCGAACGAGAUCGAUUUGCCAACAAAGACAGAACUCGUAUUAUAACUAUUACUGAAUCUGAUUUACGCAAGCUUUUAUUAACAGUGACGAGGAUUGCACCGGACGUGAUCAAUUCGACGAAAUAGACAAUACUCGUAAUAUUACUAUAUCUAUAUCCGUUGAAUAUUCACAUCUACAGAAGUUUUUAUUAACAGUGACGAGGACUGCACCGAACGAGAUCGAUUUACCAAAAAAGACAGAACUCGUAUUAUAACUAUUACUGAAU